rnacentral:rRNA from 1 species
GUGGAUUAGAUACCCUGGUAGUCCACGCCCUAAACUAUGUCAACUAGUUGUCGGGUCUGUUCAAGGAUUUGGUAACGAAGCUAACGCAUGAAGUUGACCGCCUGGGAAGUACGGUCGCAAGAUUAAAACUCAAAGGAAUUGACGGGGACCCGCACAAGCGGUGGAUUAUGUGGAUUAAUUCGAUGCAACGCGAAAAACCUUACCUACCCUUGACAUGCUUAAAAUUUUGCAGAGAUGUAAAAGUGCCCGAAAGGGAAUUAAGACACAGGUGCUGCACGGCCGUCGCCAGCU